rnacentral:rRNA from 1 species
AGCGUAGACGGUGUGGCAAGUCUGAUGUGAAAGGCAUGGGCUCAACCUGUGGACUGCAUUGGAAACUGUCAUACUUGAGUGCCGGAGGGGUAAGCGGAAUUCCUAGUGUAGCGGUGAAAUGCGUAGAUAUUAGGAGGAACACCAGUGGCGAAGGCGGCUUACUGGACGGUAACUGACGUUGAGGCUCGAAAGCGUGGGGAGCGAACA